rnacentral:lncRNA from 1 species
CCUUGAUACAGUGGGUGAGGAUAUGAUCUCUAAGCUUUCUGUUUAACAACAUGCUGCUUGAUUUUAGGACCCUGGGCAAUGGUGGACUCUUAUUGUCUGGGAGCAUUAGCCAAAGUAACCUCUUUCAGAAGUUGCCUUGGUCAUUGUUGCUUUAUGAAAGCAGUAGACAAAACCAAUUACAAUAAACCUGAUGCAUGUCAUGUUCUGAAAUAUAAUCAAGAAGAGGUAGUAUGAGGUCAUGAGGACUAAGGGCCCAAUUAGUGGGUCUUUUGUUUUUGUUCCUUUGUUUUGUUUUGUAUCUAAACAAAAUCGCAAUCAUUUGAUUUAACCAAUGAAGACUCCGUCAUCAGAAGCUGGGGUGAAAGACUGCCAUCUAGGAGAGUCCUAGAAAGCACACAGCUGACUUUCCUCAUCACUAACAAUCACAAAACGAAAAAG